CAGCCGCCGCGGGAAUACGUAGGGUGCGAGCGUUAAUCGGAAUUACUGGGCGUAAAGCGUGCGCAGGCGGUUGUGUAAGACAGGUGUGAAAUCCCCGGGCUCAACCUGGGAACUGCAUUUGUGACUGGCAAGCUAGAGUGUGGCAGAGGGGGGUGGAAUUCCGCGUGUAGCAGUGAAAUGCGUAGAUAUGCGGAGGAACACCGAUGGCGAAGGCAGCCCCCUGGGCCAACACUGACGCUCAUGCACGGAAGCGUGGGGAGCAAACAGGAUUAGAUACCCGAGUAGUCCCUGUCUCUUAUAC
rnacentral:rRNA from 1 species